GUGCUAUAAUUUCCCAAUUUCAGAUUUUCAAAUCUAAACUGGUGUUAAGGUAUACAUAUAUCUCAUAAUAAGUUGCCGCCAAUUUUCAGAAUUACAUUUACACUAUAUGCUAUAGAUACAUAUCAGUUACAACAAGGAUGAGAAAUCUCAUUUUUUGAAAAAGAAAACCAAACAUCUUCCUUUCCCACUCUAAAACAUCUCAAACUCUGUAUAUUCUUCUGUACCCUUUGAUUCCUUACAUUUCGUGCUCUCCUUGUUCUGAGGAAAAGUAGCAGAUGCGCCAAUUCCAGAAUCACCAAACUUCGGCAUAUCUGGUGGUAUUGCACAUCGUAUAAGCGCCCAAUUAAGGCCUUCGAAGAAGGGGUGCUGUUUGAUCUCUGCAGCUCCUUUUGCAGAUCCUAAUCGAUUUUCAGGUUCCUUUAUCAACAAACCUCUAAUCAAAUCACGCGCAUGAAAACCGACUAUAGGGCUACUUGGAAACUUGAGGGUUCGUGACACCACAUUUGACAACGUUUCCUCAUUUCCUGAACCUUUGAAGGGUGUCCUGCCAUACAACAGCUCAAACAGGAAGAUUCCAAAUGUCCACCAAUCAACAGCGCUGCCAUGACCCUCGCCUUUGAUGAUCUCUGGAGCAAGGUAUUCAUGAGUUCCGACAAAGGAAUUAGAUCGGGCAUUAGUUGGCUCCACUACCAGCUGUGGCAGGGGGUUGACCUGAGCAGCCAGGUCAGAUUUUAACUUGCGAGAUUUUGCAGCUACUGAUAGAAGUCGAGGAGUGAAACAUGAAACUUGCCAUGCUGGGUGGAGACAGAAAGGGUCAAUACAGCUAGCUUCAGAGCAAGGACUUGACAUCUUUUUUGUGGGCUCUGCAACUGGUGAAGAUGACUGAACCACAAUUGGAUUAACGGUACACCUUAGUGACAAGUCAAAAUCUGAGAGCAUGAUGUGCCCAUCUUCUCGCACCAGGAUAUUUUCUGGUUUUAAAUCACGGUAAACAACUCCAAGCAUGUGCAAGUACUCUAGAGCAAGAAGGACUUCAGCAACAUAAAACCUUGCUGCUUGUUCAGAGAAACUUCUGCUAGGUUGCUUCUGCCUUAGCACAUGUAGAUCUCCACCUGGACAAUACUCCAUAACCAAGCAUGAGAAUCUAUCGGACACAAAAUGGGCAAACAAUGUAGGGAGAAAAGGAUGAUCCAGAAUCUGCAAAAUCUCUCUUUCAGUUUCAGCCCUAGACAUCUUCUUCCUGCUUGCCAAAAAUUCAUUGUCCAUCACUUUCAAAGCAAACAGACAAUUUGUACCAGUAAGCUCAGCAAGAUAAACAGACCCAAUAUCCCCACAGCCAAGCUUCUUGAUUAGCUUGAAGUGCUUCAAACCUAAGCUUCCAUGCUGCCUCUGAAAAUGACGAAUGGCUUCCCACCUCAAGUCCUUAGCCAUAUGAGGCCUAUUGCCACAACGACUAGACCCACUUAGAUUGCUAUCUUCACUAACACUUGUGCUACUACUAUAAUCACCAAUGCUACUUUUUGAGCUUUGGGAGAACUCACCCUUUUCUCUUGACCUUGAUCUUUCAUCAACUUUAGUCAAUAUAGAUUUAUUUCUGUUACUGGAAUUAUUUGAGCCUUGUUUGCUUGAACUUGUGUCCUCAAUGCCUGAAUUGCAUUCAACACUGCGAUUUGUAGCACUGGAUGCUGGAGAAGCUUUCACACUUUCUUCCCUUCCAAUCUCUGGAGGACACUCGCAAAUGUCUGAACAGCAAGUACUACGACCCAGAUCAUUAUUGACUUUUCCACCACACGGAUUGGAAAUGCUGGAGACAAGAGCUGAAUCCUGCUUUACUUUCUUUUUCACAAAGCUCCUGUUCCUGAAGAUUGGUUUCAUAAAUCGCGGACUAUUACAUGCAGGAUUGUUUGCUGCAAUACCAGGGUGGCAAUUCGGCGGUAAAGAUGAAGUAUGUAAAUGGUUUUUCUGCUCUGGCAAUGAUGUUUUCACUGAUGCUAAAAAAGAGGCAGAAGUUUUUUUAUCCGCAUCUGGCAGUUUCUCGGUAGCAUGACUGACAGAUGAAAAAUCAGAAAAUUUAAGCCUUUCAACUUCUGUCCUUGGUAUUUCACUACUACACCCUGUUUGCAAAGGAACGACCUGAUCUAGUGAAGAAUGAGCAUUUUCAUAAGAUAACUCUUCUUUUUCCAUUUGUGGGGAUUCACACAUCUUCUCAGUGGAAGCUGAUGUGAUUCUUUCUGGUACAAGGGAUAUUUCCACCAAAUUACCACUACCUUCACUCAGGGGGAGGCCAGAUCCAUUUGCAUCAACUACAACUGUCCUGUACAACCUUUUGAUAGUUCCUGCUUCUGAGGCCCCUGAAGAACCCGAUGGUCUCGAUAAUCGCUUCAUAGCAGCCAUCUCCGAUGCCUGAGAGAUGCAUAAUCCCCUCAAUGCCUGCUUCAAACUCACUGGCUCAGAAAUUCCAAUUCCUGACAUUUGUGGUGAACCAACUCUGAUUGGUCUCUUCAUUGCUUUCUUCCGUAAACUAUCUUUACUGCUUUCAUAGGAUAGACCAAGACCCUUACCUGAUGUUCUAACAUCAAUUGCUUCAAAAAGACGAUUAAUGUCAUCCUCUAUAGAAUACCUAUUUCCUGGUUUUGGAACAGAAUGCUUUCCUGCUUUCUCAUCAAUUUUCAAAUCAAAAUCUAAUUCUUCAGUUGCUUCAACAAUUUCAGAAGUACUAGGUAAAGCAUCCAUCUCCAUAAGAUUCACUCAAAUGCUAAAAGGAACUGAUAUCUCUUUCCAAUAUCACAUUAACCCAUUUCUGAAGAAGCUUUUCGAAGGUAACGUAGCACGGAAAUCAGAAAGAACACAACAUAUCCUUUGAAAUUCUGUUCAAUCAUAUUGAUUCCCAGAGUUGAAUGGCCUGUUAAAAUCCCAAUACUAACCUCAAAAGGAUGCAUACAAAUCCUGAAACACGAUCAGAGCUGUUGAUCAAAACGGCAACGGAGUCCAUGAGACGAUCACCAGCAGCAGCAGAGACUCUAGACAGAGAGAGAACGGGCGGUGUUGAAGAAGGAAAAAGUAGAGGGAGAGAGGUAGGUGGUGAGUUAGGGUUAGGGCACGAGAGAGAGAGAGGAGGGAGAGUGAAUGAAGAAAGAGAAAGAAAAGUGAGAAAUGCAAAUCACGAGAAGAGAAGGUGCGAGUAACUGGCCUCGUCGUCUACACUUGUACGCCUACUUGCUUUCUCUUUCACACAGCUACUGUUUGUUUCUCUGAAGGAGGGAAGGGAGCUAAGCUUCGUGUAUUUUCUCUCUCGUCUAUGUUUCGCC
rnacentral:misc_RNA from 1 species